CACAUCCUCAAUAUAAAACACGUUAAAUCAGAUGACAGUGGAGAAUAUUGUGUGAAAGUUGGAAACUUUUCCAGAAAACUACAGCUGAAAGUUAAAGAUUGUUUUCUGGAAGACCCUUCCAAUGUUGAGUACAUAGAAGGAGAAGAUGCAAUAUUAACCUGUAAAGUAAGCCCUACUAGUCUUCCGGUGGAAUGGUUUAAAGACGGCAGUGGUGUUGAACUAGACGAUAAUUGUAAACAGUUCAAUGAAGGCACAACGCACAUCCUUAGUAUCAAGCAUGCUAAAUCAGAUGACAGUGGCGGGUAUUGUGUGAAAGUGGGAAACUUUUCCCGAAAACUACAGCUGAAAAUCGAAGAUUGUUUUCUGGAAGACCCUUCCAAUGUUGAGUACAUAGAAGGAGAAGGUGCAAUAUUAAUCUGUAAAGUCAGGCCUACAAGUCUACCUGUGAAAUGGUUUAAAGAUGGCAUUGCUGUUAAACUAGACGAUAAUUGUGAACAGUAUAAUGAAGGCACAAAACACAUCCUUAGUAUUAAGCAUGCUGAAUCAGAUGACAG